UACAGAGGGUGCGAGCGUUGUUCGGAAUCACUGGGCGUAAAGGGAGCGUAGGCGGGUUCUUAAGUAAGGUGUUUAAUCCCGGGGCCCAACCCCGGACCGGCACUUUAAACUGGGAAUCUUGAAUAGUGGAGAGGUCAGUGGAAUUGGGGGUGUAGCGGUGGAAUGCGUAGAGAUCCCCAAGAACACCAGUUGCGAAGGCGGCUGACUGGACACAUAUUGACGCUGAGGCUCGAAAGCAUGGGGAGCAAACAGG
rnacentral:rRNA from 1 species